rnacentral:rRNA from 1 species
AUUGAACGCUGGCGGCAGGCCUAACACAUGCAAGUCGAGCGAGCGGCGGACGGGUGAGUAAUGUAUGGGGAUCUGCCCGAUAGAGGGGGAUAACUACUGGAACCGGUAGCUAAUACCGCAUACCAUCAGAUGUGCCCAGAUGGGAUUAGCUAGUUGGUGGGGUAACGGCUCACCAAGGCGACGAUCCCUAGCUGGUCUACGAGGGUGACCAGCCACACGGGAACUGAGACACGGUCCAGACUCCUACGGGAGGCAGCAGUGGGGAAUAUUGCACAAUGGGCGCAAGCCUGAUGCAGCCAUGCCGCGUGUAUGAAGAAGGCCUUCGGGUUGUAAAGUACUUUCAGCGGGGAGGCGUUACCCGCAGAAGAAGCACCGGCUAACUCCGUGCCAGCAGCCGCGGUAAUAC